UACGAAGGGGGCUAGCGUUGCUCGGAAUCACUGGGCGUAAAGGGUGCGUAGGCGGGUUUUUAAGUCAGGGGUGAAAUCCUGGAGCUCAACUCCAGAACUGCCUUUGAUACUGAAGAUCUUGAGUCCGGGAGAGGUGAGUGGAACUGCGAGUGUAGAAGUGAAAUUCGUAGAUAUUCGCAAGAACACCAGUGGCGAAGGCGGCUCACUGGCCCGGUACUGACGCUGAGGAGCGAAAGCGUGGGGAGCGAACAGG
rnacentral:rRNA from 1 species